UACAGAGGUCCCGAGCGUUGUUCGGAUUCACUGGGCGUAAAGGGUGCGUAGGUGGUGAGGUAAGUCGGAUGUGAAAUCUCCGGGCUCAACCCGGAAAUGGCAUUGGAAACUACCUUGCUGGAGGAUUUGAGGGGGGGAUUGGAAUACUUGGUGUAGCAGUGAAAUGCGUAGAUAUCAAGUGGAACACCAGUGGCGAAGGCGAAAUCCCUGGAAAAUACCUGACACUGAGGCACGAAAGCUAGGGGAGCAAACAGG
rnacentral:rRNA from 1 species